rnacentral:pre_miRNA from 1 species
UCACAAGUGGUGCCGGGGCGACAAAGCUCUGAGUUCUGUUAACAUCAGAGCUUUGUUGCCCCGACUCCUUCUGUGA